GAGGGUAUAGCUCAGUGGUAGAGUGCAUGCCUAGUAUCCACUAGGUCCUAGGUUUAAUCCCCAGUACCUCCA
rnacentral:tRNA from 1 species